AACGCACAUUGCGCUUUCUGGUAUUCCGGAGAGCAUGCCCGUUUCAGAAUCAUUAAAAACAUCACAUGGUGAGAAUGUUGCUUCGGCAAUGCUCUUAACUGUGCGGAUUUGGGUGUUUUGCAAUAAUUAGCAAUCAUCUGUAAAUAAUUGUAUGUGGUGCUAUUGCUGCUUGCUGUAUUUGACAUGCAACAGGAUAUUCGGGGGAAUCUUCUAUUUCGUGUCGAAUAUUUAUGCUGGCGCUUAGUUGAACAUACUUGAAAAUUGAACAGCAGUCAUGUUGAAACAUGGUUGCUGAUGACUUGGUCUGAAAUCGGGCAAGAAAACCCGCUGAACUUAA
rnacentral:misc_RNA from 1 species